rnacentral:rRNA from 1 species
GAUUUAGGUCUUCUGUAGGUGACCUGCGGAGGAUCAUUA